ensembl:lncRNA
CAGCACACCUUCUGAGGUCUUGUGGAGUCUAUGCCUUGAUGGGUCGGAGCUGUUUUGCCAGCACAAGGGCCUCCAAAACACAAUAUUAGGUUAGCCGAACAUGUUCAACAGGAAGUUGCCUCAAUUACAUUUUUCUGAAGAUCAUGGAAAGAAGAUAAGUGUAAAACUGGGUGUGUAAGCCAAAGCAACAUCACUGGUUCCAAGUUUUUGCACCCCCAUGUGUACACCUUAUGCACUUGCAAGAACACAGCAGUUUCGUUCACUUGGUAUGACAAAUUUGAGAAAUAUAAAUUUUAAAAAAUGUAAAUACUGAUAUUGUCUACAAGUCAUGUAUAUACAUACAAAAAUGAAGGGGUGAUAUGAAAAUCUAAAUUACAUGACGUGUUUCUGUGGUUUGCAGGCUUACUUGUGGCUCCAAGGUGUGUCAGCAAGCAUACGUUUAUGCAAAUUACUGUUUGCUUGAGGGUAAACAGGCAGGCCAACUGCAUCCUGAACGUUUAUUUAUUUAUUUACCAUUUUAACGUCUGGCACAUGCAGCUGUGUUUUCUGUACUUCUGUGUUUUACUCAACUUUUUGUUUGUUUGCUCAUUGCCACUCCUGGAAAGCAUUAACUCCUUUUUAGCACUGAAAACAUGUGCUUCAGGUAGGUGUAAUGUAGGUGCAACCAAACAGCUCUAGUGCCAAGAACAUGCAACUAAAUUAAGUGAACAAAUUUGACCCUAAGUAGACCAGAUUCUAGUAAUAUUAGUGCAUACUUAAUACACACACGUAUGCGUAUGUACAUG